UGGAUCUCACAACUUUUUACCGUAGAACAACUGAGUUGCGAGACUUGGUUUUUUUGACAAGUAUUGUUUUUGAUGGGAUCUCAUUUCUUUUUGUAUUUUGUAGACAGCAGUUAUGUAUCUAAAAAACUGGACCGAAAUUGAAAAAUUUUACUCGACUUGGCGGUUGCACUACCGUGCCCCCAAAUCUCAUUUCUUUUUGUAUUUUGUAGACAGGUAGAUCCGCCGAUUUUAUUCCGCGGGAUUUAUUUUACGUUUUUUGAAAAACUUAACAGGGAUGCGUGCAAACUAGCUUAAACUGAAAGGUUAAGCAAUAAGCUUUUUAGAUCAGUGUGAGGCCCUUAGAUUCAAUCGUGAUUUUAGAAGUAACAAGCGUCCAAA